rnacentral:rRNA from 1 species
AGUUCGGAUUGGAGUCUGCAACCCGACUCCAUGAAGCUGGAUUCGCUAGUAAUCGCGCAUCAGCCACGGCGCGGUGAAUACGUUCCCGGGCCUUGUACACACCGCCCGUCAAGCCAUGGGAGCCGGGAGUGCCUGAAGUGCGCGGCCGCGAGGAGCGCCCUAGGGCAAGACCGGUGACUGGGGCUAAGUCGUAACAAGGUAGC